GUUAAGCGACUAAGCGUACACGGUGGAUGCCCUGGCAGUCAGAGGCGAUGAAGGGCGUGCUAAUCUGCGAUAAGCGCCGGUAAGGUGAUAUGAACCGUUAUAACCGGCGAUACCCGAAUGGGGAAACCCAGUGUGACUCGUCACACUAUCAUUAACUGAAUCCAUAGGUUAAUGAGGCGAACCGGGGGAACUGAAACAUCUAAGUACCCCGAGGAAAAGAAAUCAACCGAGAUUCCCCCAGUAGCGGCGAGCGAACGGGGAGGAGCCCAGAGCCUGAAUCAGCAUGUGUGUUAGUGGAAGCGUCUGGAAAGGCGCGCGAUACAGGGUGACAGCCCCGUACACAAAAGCGCAUGUGCUGUGAGCUCGAUGAGUAGGGCGGGACACGUGGUAUCCUGUCUGAAUAUGGGGGGACCAUCCUCCAAGGCUAAAUACUCCUGACUGACCGAUAGUGAACCAGUACCGUGAGGGAAAGGCGAAAAGAACCCCGGCGAGGGGAGUGAAAAAGAACCUGAAACCGUGUACGUACAAGCAGUGGGAGCCCCACCACUAAGCCAGUGGUGAACUCCACAUACGCAUCCUUUGCUGAGGAUACGGUUAACGGAGCGAAAGCGACGUUCAACCGCAA
rnacentral:rRNA from 1 species